ACUGGAUUUAGCAGCAUGUAUUGAAAUUGGAACAAUACAGAGAAGAUUAGCAUGGCCCCAGCACAAGGAAAACAUGCAAAUUCAUGAAAAAAACCUCUAAGGGUCUUU